UACGGGGGGGGCAAGCGUUGUUCGGAAUUACUGGGCGUAAAGGGCGCGUAGGCGGACCGUUAAGUUAGAUGUGAAAACUCUGGGCUCAACCCAGAGCCUGCAUCUAAUACUGACGGGCUAGAGUUCUGGAGGGGGUAGCGGAAUUCCUGGUGUAGCGGUGAAAUGCGCAGAUAUCAGGAGGAACACCGGUGGCGAAGGCGGUUCUCUGGGCAUUACCUGACGCUGAGGAGCGAAAGUGUGGGGAGCGAACAGG
rnacentral:rRNA from 1 species